rnacentral:misc_RNA from 1 species
AUCAUGGUAGCUGGCAACCCUUGCCCCCACAGCAACUUGUGUGUGAGACCAUUUCUGAAGUGGUACACCUGGUUCCCUUGGAUGCAUAGCCUCUAGAGGUGGUUUUCGAAUAUCUGUGUCGUCCCUUCUCAGUUCAACUCGAAUAAACAUGUUUCGUUUCCGACUCAUACUAACAGUCAAAGGGUAGACAUAUAAGCAAUGAAAGAGCUGCAAGAACGGUUCAUUCCUUGU